rnacentral:misc_RNA from 1 species
AAGUCGUAACAAGGUAUCCGUAGGUGAACCUGCGGAUGGAUCAUUAUCACGUAUCCACGUAUCAACCAUUGUGAACUGUUUUUACCUCUGAUAGGAUUUAGUGAAGGGAAACGGAUUUCGGUCUAUUUCUUUUCUUAUCAGUUGUAAUCACUUUAUUUUAUUAACAAUUUAAACCUUAAUUUUAUAACUUUUGAACUGAUUUAUUUCAUACUCUUCGGAGAUGAAAUUCAUUACGAAACAAAGAACAACUCUUAGCAACGGAUAUCUUGGUUCUC